GACGAACGCUGGCGGCGUGCUUAACACAUGCAAGUCGAACGAAGUGGCGAACGGGUGAGUAACGCGUAAUCAACCUGCCCUUCAGAGGGGGACAACAGUUGGAAACGACUGCUAAUACCGCAUACUGAAGGAGGGGAUUGCGUCUGAUUAGCUAGUUGGAGGGGUAACGGCCCACCAGGGCGAUGAUCAGUCGCCUGUCUGAGAGGAUGAUCGGCCACAUUGGGACUGAGACCCGGCCCAGACUCCGACGGGAGGCAGCAUUGGGGAAUCUUCCGCAAUGGACGAAAGUCUGACGGAGCAACGCCGCGUGAGUGAUGAAGGCCUUCGGGUUGUAAAGCACUUUUGGCAGGAAAGCGGUACCUGCAGAAUAAGCACCGGCUAACUACGUGCCAGCAGCCGCGGUAAUAC
rnacentral:rRNA from 1 species